UUUCAGGUCGUAAUACCAGCAUUUUUAAUAUUACCGCUGGAAGGCUUAGAAGUGUGUCUUUGCAAUGACAAAAUACAUUGAGAAGCAAUUUACAUCCUAAAUAAUUGUGGCUGAAUGAAAAUGGAGAUUGACAAAAAGAUCUUAUCAGUUUUUCUGUUUUGGAAGUUGAGGAAGACGUGUUAUAUUCCUAUAUUAGAAGAUCUAUUUAUGCUGAUUAAUAUGAGCCAGAAGAGAAAAGGGAUGGAUGAUGCAGAAGACACAUAGAGAUCUGAUAAAGUGAAAAUUCUUACAGUGGCAAAAAGAUGGGUUUCAGUAUGCUUUUGUACAUUAGGGAACUCAUUUUCCUCUGGGUGGUUAAAAGAUUGCCAAGGAGAAUUUUAGCAUCGACAGUUUUAAAGGAAUCAAUUUUCAGCAACUCAAUUUUCAUGUGAACUUUUCUAAAGCGAUGUCGCUGAAAAAUUUAUCUAUACUCAGGAUACACUUUU
rnacentral:lncRNA from 10 species